ensembl:lincRNA
UAUUUUUGCUGUGUAUAAUAUGAAGUUAACAGGAAAAAAAAUAAGGUAACUGUAUUUCUGCAGAAUUGCUCUCCUCCAAUCUGAAGAAAUUAAAGGAAGAUGAGGGAGUUAGCCCGGGACAGGAGCUCCAUGUCUGAUGAGGAAAACACCUGUAAAUACAUACACACACACGUCAUGCGUAGUACACAGAACAGCCCUCCUCAUUCACCAAUGCUGCGUUCAUCUUGCACAUUCAAGGAGGAUGAGGCUGAUAUUGUAAAAAUGAUGACAUGUAAGAUACUAUAGAGUUUAUUUUGCCAACAGAAAUCCGAUUUUAAAUUUUGUAACCUAACUCUACCUUAGUCCGUUAUUUAUGAUGUUCUUGAAUAUUUUAUUUACAUUUUGCUUUAUUAGAGAUAGAUAGGACAUGGAUUCUGAAGAAUUAUCUAUCAGAUUGUCAACAGACCUACUAGUUUUAUCGAAAGCCAGCUGAUUUACAUCCUAGCUGACACCCAUGGACAGUCAGACAGCCCUGUAAACCAUGAAUAUUUAGAAACCUGCUUUAAAAGACUUUAUCAGAAAUGCAUGAUGAGAACCUGCUUUGUUACUUCUGGAUACUCUGCAUGUACUUAGCCAGUGUCUACUACUAUUCAAGACUAAUUGAUGAUUCUUUUCUAGAUUUUGGAACUCAAAAAAGUCUCUUGAGAAAUGACUUGCAGUUCGGGCUAAUUCAUAAUCCAGCUCAGGACACUCUUGAGAUCAAAAGGAGGAAUUAUUCCAAGACAGGGAAACAACCUAAAUGUUCACUGAUGAAUGGCAGGGUGGUAUUUUAUUUCACUAAGAAGUCAAAAGUUAAAGACUUGAUAAAAAAUAAAUCUCCUGCUUGUGGUGACUGAAAUAGAAAAAGGCACACAAAGACGAUCAAAACCAAUGAGAGGACCACAACUUCACCAAAGAGCCCAUCCUGUUGUUCUAGAGUUUGUUGGAGACACAACCCAACUGCCUCACUUUUGGAUGAAUGUUAGAACUAUGACCCAGGAAGACAGGUCCAGUCCAUCCGUGAAAUUACUGACCAUCACGUCCACUGCCAUCUCUGCAAAUACAGACCACUGGCCCCCAUCUGAAAAGAGACUCAUCCCCACAGGGGAAAUAGCAAAAUGAAUGUUCUGACUUUGAAUUCUGUGUUAACAUCCAUACUCCAAUAGGAAAGGGUCUUACUCAAAUGCUGAGAAAAUUGUGUGAGCUUGAAUUUGUCUACAUUCCUUGGUUAUGGGAGUUUUAAAGAAAAGAGGCUUCUAUGGUUGGACCAUUCUUCAGAGCACCCAGUAAACUCCAUAUUUUUGGUCGUACACUUCAGAGAGGUCAACAAUAUACUUAGUUGCCUGAGUCUAGCUGAUGGCAAGUGACACUGAUGAGCCCUAUACUUCCAAUUAGUGCAUGAGGCUCUGUACAAAACAGGGACCAACUGCAGAGGCUGUCUAUCUUUAGUGAUUCGUGUCUGGAGACUCUCUUGGGUCAGCCCCGGCUCUUAUUUAUGGGUUGGCUUCAUGUUCUGACAGUAAAGACCUUCAUUUACCUAAUUUAUUCUUGAAACCUAACCAGAUAAAAGGGCAACUCCAACCACAAACUUCUCCAAGAAUUUCUAUUAGUCUCUUCACUUUUACCAAAGUCAGAAAUCACACUCAAAUCAGAAUUUAAUAUUAUUUUCUAAACCCAAAAUGAAAAUGAAGUAUUUGUAAAUCCAUAGGAUUACUCUUUUAAAGGCUGACGAUACAGAGUUUCAUAUCUACCAUUAUUUCAUUACACAGCAAUGAUACUAGUCUUUCCCUAACUAAACCUGAGUGAUCAGGUAUCCUGUCUGUUGCUUCAUUAUAAUGUAUUCAACAGUGAGCCAAAGAUAGAUGUCAAGCUUGAAGUAGAGGUUCAUUUACUUUCAUGUACUUUGCAAGGAAAGCCUCUGAUGAUUAUGUAAGAUGCCAUCAGAAUUAAUUAUCAAAUGGAUGAAUGAAUUUUAAAAUGAGGUUAUAAUUCAUUGACCAGAUUCUUGUUCACCAUUCUUCAAUUAGGGUGGGCCUAGUUCCAUUUUGGAUUAACAUUCUUCUUUCUCUUUAAUUGAUUUCUUGUCAUUCUUGAACAAAAAGUCAUUUGUUAUUGCAGGAAGCAAAGUUAAACAAGAAGCCUACUGAUGCUGAAAGAUUCUGUCUCAUAGAAAGCAUGGCAUGUAUGGUGCUUGCAGUUGAAAGAAAUGGAUUGCACACACAAAUACACCAUGUUAGAAUUAUGUUAAUCAGAGUUGGUAUGCAAAAUAUGUAACAACUAGUACAGUACAGAUCCAAUGACUAGAAUGAAUGAAAUGCCUAAUCAGAGUGGACAAGGCAUAAUCCAUUAUAUAGGCAUAUUUG